rnacentral:rRNA from 1 species
UACGUAGGUGACUAGCGUUGUCCGGAUUUACUGGGCGUAAAGAGCGCGCAGGCGGUCGUUCAAGUCGAGUGUGAAAGCCCCCGGCUCAACUGGGGAGGGUCAUUCGAUACUGAUCGACUCGAAGGCAGGAGAGGGAAGCGGAAUUCCCGGUGUAGUGGUGAAAUGCGUAGAUAUCGGGAGGAACACCAGUGGCGGAAGGCGGCUUCCUGGCCUGUUCUUGACGCUGAGGCGCGAAAGCUAGGGGGAGCAAACGGG